ensembl:lncRNA
UUAUAGGAUAUGUUAGGUAUUCACAGUUGACUAUUUUAAAAAUGUAGAGUAUUCUGAACUCAUUAGGUUUUACAAUGUACAGAUAUUCAGACAGGGUAAGCCACAAAAUAAACACCUGCUUCCUACACAUCUAUAUGUUAUGUAGGCCGUGUUGUAUGAUGUUUCCUUUGACAUACAGUGUAAACUAUGAACUACUAAGAGUUUGGCCGUGUAACAUUUUACAAAUACAUUAGACACACAUGAGGAUUGAAACAAACUGUAUAUUAACAGGAAAUGCAUCAAACAGAAAUACCAGCAAAACCUUUAUAUAUGGAUAGCAAAACAAACAAUAAAUCAUUGUUCUCUCAAAUGAAUAUAUUUAGAUUUAAAAUUUCAACUGAUGUUGACAAAUAUAUUUACAUAGGGUUACAUCUAAACAUACAACACCAUUACUUCAACACACUAAAUGUGGACAAAACAAAUAACUGCUUUGUAAAAAAACCACCAAAAUUAUUGGUAAUUGAACUACCACUUGACUAUACCUCAUCUAAAGUACCUUAUCGAAACACAAUGUUCUAGAAAGUCAUAUGGUGUGUUGUAACACUACUUAAUCAGCUUUUGUGCAACACAAAACACUUUUGUGGUGUUUUAAACUCUCCUUAGGUCAUUAGAUACCUUCUUUUGGUGUAAUUUCCUCUCACUAAAGCCCCAAUAAACAUAUAGUAAACAUUGCAGGACCCACCUACACUAACUACAGGUUUUAUAGUAAACAUUGCAGGACCCACCUACACUAACUACAGGUUUUAUAGUAAACAUUGCAGGACCCACCUACACUAACUACAGGUUUUAUAGUAAACAUUGCAGGACCCACCUACACUAACUACAGGUUUUAUAGUAAACAUUGCAGGACCCACCUACACUAACUACAGGUUUUAUAGUAAACAUUGCAGGACCCACUUACACUAACUACAGGUUUUAUAGUACACAUUGCAGGACCCACUUACACUAACUACAGGUUUUAUAGUAAACAUUGCAGGACCCACUUACACUAACUACAGGUUUUAUAGUAAACAUUGCAGGAC